rfam:Triticum aestivum genome assembly, contig: Triticum_aestivum_CS42_TGACv1_scaffold_058306_1BS
GGAUGCGACCAUGCCAGCACUAAAGCACCGGAUCCCAUCAGAACUCCGAAGUUAAGCGUGCUUGGGCGAGAGUAGUACUAGGAUGGGUGACCUCCUGGGAAGUCCUCGUGUUGCAUUCC